GACGAACGCUGGCGGCGUGCUUAACACAUGCAAGUCGAACGGAAAGGCCCUUCGGGGUCCUCGAGUGGCGAACGGGUGAGUAACAUGUGGGUGAUCUGCCCUACACUUUGGGAUAAGCCUGGGAAACUGGGUCUAAUACCCAAAAGGACCACGCGCUUCAUGGUGUGUGGUGGAAAGCUUUUGCGGAGUGGGAUGGGCCGGCGGCCUAUCAGCUUGUUGGUGGGGUAAUGGCCUACCAAGGCGACGACGGGUAGCCGACCUGAGAGGGUGACCGGCCACACUGGGACUGAGGUACGGCCCAGAGUGCUACGGGGGGCAGCAGUGGUGAAUAUUGCACAAUGGGCGCAAGCCUGAUGCAGCGACGCCGCGUGAGGGAUGACGGCCUUCGGGUUGUAAACCUCUUUCCAUGGGUACGAAGCGCAAGUGACGGUACCUAAAGAAGAAGCACCGGCCAACUACGUG
rnacentral:rRNA from 1 species